rnacentral:misc_RNA from 1 species
AUGAAUUGGUUAAAUUAGUUAGCGAAGAGGCGAACGGCAAACCUGCUCUUUAUUGUCAGACUUCAACAGUUGAUAGAAAGUUGUUAUUGUAUACAUAGUUCUAGCAAUCGGAAAAGAAGAAUGAUCAUACGCAUUAAAAAGUUAGAAAAACUGCUGGAAAUGGUUUUGACUCAAACGAGUGGGCAAUUAUUGAGCUCCAAGGUGAGCUGCAAUCUCGCUCCAAUCAAGCACUCAAUGACCAAUUCAUUG